CACACACUUAAGUUUUGUAAUUAAUACUCAUCCCUUCUUACCUAUCUCUCCUCCUAUAAAUAGAUAACCCUAAACCCUUUCUAGAUAUGCAUUUCUGAAGAGAACCCUUCAUAGCUAUGGGUCUUUAAAGUAAACCCUUCAUAGAUAUGAGUCUAUGAAGAAAGCCCUUCAGAGAUAUGGGUUCUUGAAGAAGACCAUUGAUCAUAGCUAUGGAUUCUUGAAGAAAACCCUCUUUUCUUUUUCUAUUUUUUGACAUAUAACCUUUUCUUUUUCAACUUCUUUGUUCAACUGGAUCAUGUUUUAAGUUUCUUGUUCUAUCAUUAAACCUAAUCACUAUAUGUAGCUUAACCUUCCACUUUUAUUUUCUUGCUGGAGAAAUGAAAGCAGAUCUCAAGUGACAGUCAGUUCUUGCUGAUGGAGCAUCAUCAAGAUUCACAAAAGACUCUACUUUUAGGGUUUCAUAAGCUUUUCUUGUUCUUUUACUUAAUAAAGAAAGAAAAAGAAAGUGGUUUAUGGGCCCCUUGAUGGUUUGAGAAUCUUGAUGAUGCUGCAGCGGCAAUUGCUGGCUAAUUAUGAUCUUUAAAACUGGAUUAUGGUAAGUUGUGACCAUGUAGAUUUAAUCUUAAAAUAUAAAAUAUAUCCAUCACCAUUAGUGUGUGCGUGUGUGUAUAUUUUUGCAGGCUGUUUAUUCUGUUGCUUUUUGAGCCACAUCUUGUUUAUGGUGUUGCAGUCAUAUAAGAAAAAGCAAAUCUCACCUGGUGAAUUGAUGAGUGUGUCUGUACUCUGAACAUGAGUGGAUUAGCAACUUGUACUGUACAACAGGAUAUCAUGGGAUGCUUUUGAAGAGAUACCAUUAGGUGUUGCAGGAUAUCAUGAUGGUCUACUUUGUGUUCUUGGAUUUGCUAUGUGAAGAGAUCCCAUUACUAGAUUUUAAUUGUCAUUGUUUAUAUCUUUAACUAGCUACAACUAGUUUUUUUUU